rnacentral:rRNA from 1 species
GGCGAGGGGAGUGAAAAAGAACCUGAAACCGUGUACGUACAAGCAGUGGGAGCACGCUUAGGCGUGUGACUGCGUACCUUUUGUAUAAUGGGUCAGCGACUUAUAUUCUGUAGCAAGGUUAACCGAAUAGGGGAGCCGAAGGGAAACCGAGUCUUAACUGGGCGUUAAGUUGCAGGGUAUAGACCCGAAACCCGGUGAUCUAGCCAUGGGCAGGUUGAAGGUUGGGUAACACUAACUGGAGGACCGAACCGACUAAUGUUGAAAAAUUAGCGGAUGACUUGUGGCUGGGGGUGAAAGGCCAAUCAAACCGGGAGAUAGCUGGUUCUCCCCGAAAGCUAUUUAGGUAGCGCCUCGUGAAUUCAUCUCCGGGGGUAGAGCACUGUUUCGGCAAGGGGGUCAUCCCGACUUACCAACCCGAUGCAAACUGCGAAUACCGGAGAAUGUUAUCACGGGAGACACACGGCGGGUGCUAACGUCCGUCGUGAAGAGGGAAACAACCCAGACCGCCAGCUAAGGUCCCAAAGUCAUGGUUAAGUGGGAAACGAUGUGGGAAGGCCCAGACAGCCAGGAUGUUGGCUUAGAAGCAGCCAUCAUUUAAAGAAAGCGUAAUAGCUCACUGGUCGAGUCGGCCUGCGCGGAAGAUGUAACGGGGCUAAACCAUGCACCGAAGCUGCGGCAGCGACGCUUAUGCGUUGUUGGGUAGGGGAGCGUUCUGUAAGCCUGUGAAGGUGUGCUGUGAGGCAUGCUGGAGGUAUCAGAAGUGCGAAUGCUGACAUAAGUAACGAUAAAGCGGGUGAAAAGCCCG